GCUUAUUGAUAAUAAUUUUAAGUCUGACCUGCCCGAUGAGUAGUUGAAUGGCCGCGGUAUAUUGACCGUGCAAAGGUAGCAUAAUCAUUAGUUUUUUAAUUGAAAGCUGGAAUGAAAGGUUUGAUGAGAAGAUUUCUGUCUCUAUAAAAAUUUAUUUAGAAUUUUAUUUUUAAGUUAAAAAGCUUAAAUAAUUAUAAAAGACGAGAAGACCCUAUAGAGUUUAAUAUUUAUAAAUUAAAUUAAGAUUAAGAAUUACGAAUUUAAUUUAAUUAAUAAAUAUUUUGUUGGGGUGACAAAAAAAUUAAAAAAACUUUUUUUUUAUAAAAUCAUUUAUUUAUGAAUAUAUGAUCCUAAAUUUUAGAUUAUAAGAUUAAAUUACCUUAGGGAUAACAGCGUAAUUUUUUUUAGAGUUCUUAUCGAAAAAAAAGAUUGCGACCUCGAUGUUGGAUUAAAAUAAAUUAUUGGUGUAGAGGCUAAUGAAUUAGGUCUGUUCGACCUUUAAAAUUUUACAUGAUCUGAGUUUAAACCGGUGUGAG
rnacentral:rRNA from 1 species